rnacentral:lncRNA from 1 species
AGGAUUUGAGUGUGACCUAAUUCCUAAUUAGAUUGGGAUUUAAAUCAAGAGAGAUUAGGUUCCUAGUUGGAUUAGGAUUCCUCCUCUCUUUGGGUGCACUAAUUCUUAAUUAGAUUAGGAAUUUAAUUAGGUUUGACCAAACACCAAGAGAAGUCCCAAAUCAUUAGGACUCUCCCUCUCUUCUUGCACCCAACAAACUCCACGCCAAGCACUUAUCCGCAUGCCACUUCUUUUAAGUUUUGCAUGAGGUUUCUUCACACAAAAGCAAAAGUCACCCCAUGUAUUCUCAACUCCCCAU